GUGGACGGGUAGGGGCCGCAAGGCUCCUAUUAACACCCCAGCGCACGUCCGAAGGCGUG
rnacentral:ribozyme from 1 species